CGAGCCCAGACUGGCGCUGUCGAAGUUGACCUGGAAAGGCAUGUCAGAGAGGGUGAGAGCCCCGUGCGCGACACCGCCGGGCUGGGCCGCUACUGUCUUCGGAGAGUCGGGUUGUUUGGGUAUGCAGCCCAAAGUGGGUGGUAAACUCCAUCUAAAGCUAAAUACUGGCACGAGACCGAUAGCGAACAAGUACCGUGAGGGAAAGGUGAAAAGUACUUUGAAAAGAGAGUCAAAAAGACCGCGAAACCGUUAGGAGGGAAACGAAUGCAGCUGAAGUGGUUCCCCGUCAGGCUCAGGAGACGUCRGUCGGUCCUGCCGGGUUCCGGAAGCCGUGAGGCGCCGGGGCUCUGGAUGGGCUGCCGACCACUCUGCACUUCUGCGGGGAACCGGCCAACAGCAGUCGCUCCUGGCUCAGGAGGGCGCCCGGGUAGGUGGCUCCGCGCUCGCGUGGAGAACUUAUAGCCGCGGCGUCUGGCAGAAAGUCUGGGGGCGACGGAGGAGAGUUGCGAGUCCAGUCGCACGUGCAGCGCAGGCCUUCGGGCUGGGCCGCCUUCGUCGGGGGGACGACCGCGGCGGCCACUGCGUGCAGUGACUGCCGACGGCUCGGCUCCCGGGCGGGGGGCCGGUCACACCUUGCGCUGCGGUUGUUGGCGUCCGAAUGGCUGCAUCCGA
rnacentral:rRNA from 1 species